UACAGAGGGUGCAAGCGUUGUUCGGAAUUAUUGGGCGUAAAGCGCGUGUAGGCGGCUUUGCAAGUCGGGUGUGAAAGCCCUCAGCUUAACUGAGGAAGUGCGCCCGAAACUGCAGAGCUUGAAUACCGGAGAGGAUGGCGGAAUUCCCAAGUAGAGGUGAAAUUCGUAGAUAUGGGAGGAACACCGGUGGCGAAGGCGGCCAUCUGGACGGCUAUUGACGCUGAGACGCGAAAGCGUGGGGAGCAAACAGGG
rnacentral:rRNA from 1 species